rnacentral:lncRNA from 1 species
AUAAUGGCUCAGCAGUCAGGGGCACUUGCUGCUCUUCCAGAGGACUGGGAUCUGGUUCCCAUAACCCACAUGGUAGCUCACAACCAUCCAUAACUCCAGUUCCAGGGGAUCCGAUGCCCUUUCUGCUCUCCUUGGGCACUGUACAUAUGUGUAUAUACACACGAGCGCGCGCGCACACACACACAUACAAUAGAAUGUCCUAAUAACAAGGUUCAGGCCAGCAGAGUAUAUGGCGAGACUCUGGCUUAAAAAAAUGUUUUUUGAGUCUUUACUAAACCUCAUACACUGGCACAUGCUUGUAGUAUCAUCUCUGGGGAUACUGAGGCAGAAGGAUCUCAGGCUCCUCAUAGUCUCUAUGUUAAGAUCCUGACUCAAAAACAAACAAGCACAGUGUGGUGGCUGAUACCUAAAAUCCCAACACGUGGGACACUGGGAAGGAGGAAAGCUGGGUUUAAGGCCAGUCUUGGGCAGAGUGACACUGUCCCAAAAGUAUACACACAAAAUCCCAAACACAGAGAAGUACACUUUGAGUCUAGGUGGUGCACAGUCUGGUCAUAGAUGCAACCUUGUGUUUAGCGUUUUAAGUUUUUACUGGGGAAGCCUCUAUCACUCUUGAGCUGCCAGCUCCCUGCUGUUAUCAUUCAAUACACACUUUUUUACUGUUGGACAUCCUGGUCCCAUCAGUCACCAGCUGUAGAAGGUCCUUUGUAGAGUUAUGUUCAGUCCUGGCCCUCAGUGGGGUGCAGUCCUGCCCCCCCUCCCCAUUAAGCACUUGUGCCUGGUUAUCUCUGUAAGCUGGCAGGAACAGAAAGCAGUCCUACAGAGAGGAGAGAAUGGAAGUCAAAGCAAUAAGGCGCAGAUCCCAGGGGGCUGGAUGUGUCAGGUAGCUUACUACAGAUAGGGAGUGAGGCCAGUGGACAGAGACAAAGAAUUCACACUCCUCGCUUGGGAGCUGCAGGUCUCUGUUGGUAUAUUUG